rnacentral:misc_RNA from 1 species
AUCCUACCGGCAAGCACUUGCAAGUAAGUGUUUUUUCCUCAUGUAAUUUGGUUCAACAGAUUUCUAGUGGGAUAUUAAUCUUCUUUUGUUUCCAUUAGUGUCUCUAUCAUGUUUUAGAAUAUUCUUUCAACCUUAGGGUUUUGAAGAAAAGCUAGUAAUAGGGCUUAACAACUUGUUUGUCAUUCCAUAAAAAAUUUAUAUCCUAAAUUAUGUCAAACAAUGAUAGAAUAAUGAGUUUCUUAUUAAAUUGUACUGGAUUGUUAAAUGGCAACUAAAGAUUUUGGUUUUGUUCAUUUAUGAUCAUAGUUACUUAAAUUGCAGUACUUCUUGGAUCGUGGUAUAAAUAACAUUUACUCGGUAUGCCACUUAGUUAGAUAUAUGGUAUAGGGAGUAGACUUAAUUGGUAUGCCAAUUUGGAAUAUAAUAUGGGAAUUAUAUCGAUUCAAUUCAUGGUACGUGAAUGCACUUAAUUAUUAUAAUCUAUGGUUUUAAGUAACGGCUGUUAAAUACAGGUUUUUGAGGGGGUGUUAUCAUUACCUACAUUAGAUAA